rnacentral:lncRNA from 1 species
CUCAGCCAGUCAGAGUCAACCACAACUAAAGAAAUUUAUUCACAUAAACAAUUUCCAGUAAUGGUCUCAGCUCGUACGAGGCUCCUGUUGUAAAUUGACAACAAGCUGUUCUUUCCAGAAGGAGGAGUGCAGAAGAAAAUGAAAAGAAAGCGUCAUCAUGGUCAGCAUCUUUGAAGAAAUGGGUACUCAAAGAAAUCCUCAUGUAGAGUCACACUGUGCUGUCAUCUGA